ACCAAAAUAAAUUAUUAUUUAAUCGAGAUUAUUAAUUUAUCGAGGUUCUACUGUAAUAUCUUUUUUUUAUUUUUGUUUUAUGGCUUCUGAAAUUCUACUAAAUUCCUUUGUUUUAAUCAAUUACUAGUUUAUGUUGAUUAUAAUUUUAUCAACAUACUUUGUAGGAUCAUAAUUUUAUUUUAUUUCUACCUUAUUUUAAUUUUUUAUUGUAGAUAUAUUAUCUGAUAUUAGUUAAUGUUAAUUUUAAUUCUUUAUUGGCAAAAUCUAAAGGGAUUAUAAACAUACACAAUUAAAUAUUACAAAUGAUAUAAGGAAGACUCCAAAUUAACUCAAAUAAAAGAAUCCAUAUCUCUGAAAGAGAAUUUGGUGGUGAUUGCACUCUGGAUAAGAAGAUGGAAGGGUUCAGGAAAUAGGGUCAGGAAAGUCGGCAAUACCAGCGGCAGCUACAUUUGGUCCUCCCGCGUAGAAAUCAACAUAUGAGGCCAAUACAAACAGCAAGUUGGCAAGUGAUGAACAAGAUAAACACCCAUGUCCCAUACCUUUCUGACGUUUAGGAAUGGAUUACAAAGAAAGAACGUAUGCAUCCACUCUACUGCCAAAAGGACACACUAUAAAAGAGGAUGCCUUAGAUAGAGAGGCUGGUCAUCCCUUGUUUACAUUGUUAAGUUUGCAGACGCAGAAUACAAAGGGAAAGAAAUGGUGAGGAAAGAAAAGUUAUUCAUUGCUUUGACAUGGUUUUUAGUAGUGAUGUCCAUUGCCAUAUGUGCAAAUGCAACAGCAGGCCCUCGUCUGCAGACAUCUGAGCACAUGGUUCAGCCCCAAGCAGGCUGUCGCUGCUGCUUUUUCAUCGGACGGAUUCCAAACAUCCGUUGUGGAAAUGUGUGCUGUGAGGAUGGCUGUUGCUCCUCCAAUUGAAGGAUCGGUUCAGUUUCCAAUUGUGGGUGUGCUACUUGAGCGAAUAAACUUUGACUUUCUUAAAAUAAUUACGAGAAGUACAAGGAUGGUCAUAUGAGGUUGCAGAAACUCUUUACUAUUGUUAAGCUUUCAUAAAUAAGGAGGUUUCUUUUAUCUGUUGUACUUUCGAAUUGUACUAAUAAUAAUAAUGCAAUUAUGUUAAUCCAAA